AGAUGUGAAGGUGUUCUGACUGUGACAUCUGUCACACAUCACCAGGGUUUAGUUUAGCAAUCUGGCUGACUAGGCAGAUGUCCCCUUCCUCCCUCACCACUCCAUGUGCAUCUUUCCCAAAGCUGCACAAUCAGUGGAAGAAGACAACCCUCCUGGAUAGAGAGGACCACUCUUUGAUCAAGGGUAUACAAGGAGCAGUGCUCCCCUUGCUAGAACCUCCAAAUAAGCUCUCAAGAGGGAAAAUCUCAGAGUAUGUGUUUUGAGUGGGAAGAGGUUGAUGACGACGAUGACAAUCACAACUGUUAAUGCUUAC
rnacentral:snRNA from 1 species